GUGGUCGUGGCCGAGUGGUCAAGGCGUUGGACUAGAAGUCCAUGGGGUCUCCUCCCCGCGCUGGUUCGAAUCCUGCCGACCACA